GUAGAGCCAAGGUGAACCACUGUGAGAGUUACAAAGUUCAAAUCCUGGAUCCAGCCAUUCUUGAAGUCCAUGCCCUCUAUGUGUCACAGCUCCGUGAACCAGUGGAGCCUCUUUUCUGCAUGUGCCUGUUGGAUUUGAACUUUCUGUCACACGCAACUAAAAAGGUCCUCACUGACAGACUGAUGCCGCGUCAGGUGACUUGUCGCCAGGUCACAUGGCCAUAGAGCAGCGUUGAGGCUCACAUUUGUAAUCCUAGCACUUAGGGGGCUGAGGCAGGAGGAUCAUGGAGUUCAAAGGCAGCCUAGGCUCUAUAGCAAGACCCUGUCUCAAAAAACAAAAACAAAAAAAUGAAAUCGAUCCAUUAUUUAUCCAGUAUUUACCCUUCCCGGGCAUCUGUCCCCACUGCCGCGCCUGCCAUCACAGAACACAUGCGUGUCUUAGUCUAGUUUUAUGUUACCCUCCCCUCCCCAGAACAGCAAUGACGUUGGGUCUGGUUUAUCACUCUCGAAUCCCUAGACAAGGCGGUGUGUGGCACGUAGUAGGUGCUCAAUGUGUGCCUGGGCAUGAAGUCACAGGCUGCUGGAAGCUCCCUAACUCCUCAGCCAUCUCACAGGUCCUGCCUGCUGUGCCCCAGAAGGAAGGCCGCUCAGCCUCUGCAGCUCGUGCCCGGCGUCGCUGCACUGACUCCCCAGCUCCCACCAGGGCUCUGCUCACCGCAGGGGGAAGUCCUUCCUUUCAGGGUUCUGUGAGGUUACAGGAGGGGAAGCAGGGAAUGUCCCUGAGCCUGCCGGGCCUCUCGCUCCCCCACUACGGGGAUGACUCAGGCCACAGGGCUGGUGGGGACCAUGCCCCGGGCCCCUUCCGGCCCCAGGGGUCUAAGGAUGUUAAGGUUCCUCUGGCGACCACUUCAGAAGGAAAUGGAAGGAGCGGAAAGCUGCAGUCCGCAGUCAGGUGGCCCCUGGAGAGGCCGGGCAGGGGUAGGGAGAGGCUGGGCAGUGGGGACGGGGCACUUGGGUCUUUCUUGCCCAGGGCCUGGCCAAGCCUCCUGUUCCUCUGCCCUUGA
rnacentral:lncRNA from 1 species